AGUGAACGCUGGCGGUAGGCCUAACACAUGCAAGUCGAACGGCAGCACAGUAAGAGCUUGCUCUUACGGGUGGCGAGUGGCGGACGGGUGAGGAAUACAUCGGAAUCUACUUUUUCGUGGGGGAUAACGUAGGGAAACUUACGCUAAUACCGCAUACGACCUACGGGUGAAAGCAGGGGAUCUUCGGACCUUGCGCGAUUGAAUGAGCCGAUGUCGGAUUAGCUAGUUGGCGGGGUAAAGGCCCACCAAGGCGACGAUCCGUAGCUGGUCUGAGAGGAUGAUCCGCCACCCUGGAACUGAGACACGGUCCCGACUCCUACGGGAGGCAGCAGUGGGGAAUAUUGGACAAUGGGGGAAAGCCUGAUCCAGCCAUACCGCGUGGGUGAAGAAGGCCUUCUGGUUGUAAAGCCCUUUUGUUGGGAAAGAAAAGCAGCAGUUUAAUCCCCCGCUGCUAUGACGGUACCCAAAGAAUAAGCCCCGGCUAACUUCGUG
rnacentral:rRNA from 1 species